CCCCCACUUGACAGCCCAGUGGUUGCCAUGGACAAAGAGAUCCGCGAUACUGAAUGCGGCCAAGCAGUACAAGUUUUUACAUGGACAGUUAACACGAAGUUAUUGACGACAUGCAUGGCUGAAACACGGUGAUAUGAUUUUAAAAAUUCCUGUGUUAUGAUGCAAGUGAUAGUAUUCUGUUGAAUUUUCAGAUCUAGUCAUGUGCCAGCAAGGCCUGCUGUACUUCUGGUGUAUUCUAUGUUGUAUUUUCAAAUAAAGAUGUUGCAUUCUGAAGUUAACCUUA